GAGUUGAGUAUGAUGAAGAGGCCGUACAUGGCGUAGUAAUACUAGUUAUCUGAGUAACUUCCAAGGGUUAAACCAAAGUUACCCUAGUUAUCCUAGUAUACUAGUUAUACUAGUUGCCCGGGUAACUUUGGAUGAAGAAGAGAAGCCCUAUUCCCUUUGCUAAGGCAUCAGACCGUUGCAAGGGAAGAGGAGGCACAUGUGACAGGCUGGAGAAGAGCUGGAUAAAGCAAAAGGAGCUUUAUGCACAAGGAAUAAGCUCAUUGGAUGGAUUGAAUUAAAGCAAACUUUAUCUAUUGUAAUAGUGCCUCUUUAUGAAACCCUCAUCAUAGUGUUGCCUCAUCAUAUAUAUUGUAAACUCUGAUCAGAUUAAUAAUUAAGAAGUUUGAGAUUUCUCUCUAGACUCUCUCUCUUGUUCAUGAUGAUUCUUAAAUACUC
rnacentral:lncRNA from 1 species